rnacentral:lncRNA from 1 species
AGUUUUCAUUAAAAAAGUUGUCAUAAAAGAAAGAUCUACUUUCUCAUUUCCUAUCUUUCCAGAUGACCACCUCCUCACGUGUUACCACCGUGGUGUCAUCUCCUGUGAACUUUCGCCAGAGAUGAGCCAAGACAAAUGCAGUGUCCUUCAAUUUCUACAACUGAAAUGGAGCCUGGGGAUAUUAUCUGCUACCAAGGAGACCAUGGCUGACUGGACACUGCCUUCUUCUAGUCUAGGGGAGAUCAUUCUCUGAGGGGCAAAGAAAAGAGCAACAAAAUACAGAAGGCCAUGCAUGACAAGCAACUGCAAACCAUUGUUCAUGAGAGUCUUUGGUAUCUGAGAUAAUGGAAUUAGAUAAAGACAAAGGGUCACAGGGAGAACGUCUUUCAGUCUAACAGACCCUCCUAUUCACAUCCAGAGUAAAUGUUCCUGUGACAACAAGGAGUAAAUCAAUAUUUUUAUGUUCAAUAUGCAGCUCAGGGCCCAC